AUCAAAUUGAAAUUUCUUCUCUCAGUGUACAAAUACGGAUAUCAGCUUAUACAGUACAUCAGAUAGUAAUGUCCAAGAAAGUGAAAAAGUACCAAAAACUUAAUACAAUCAAAAUUAAAGCAUUACUGCACAGACUGCUGAUCAGAAUUGGCCCGAGUUGGAGUUCGAUGUGGAGUUUGAGUAAUUCUUUUUCCCAAAUCCAUCACCCACUGACCUGACUCCACUAGCUGAUUUCAACAGAGUCCUGACUAUCCUAAUCUUCACCUCUCCUCUCCUUGGAGGAAGAAGAGCACUCUGUUUUGGUUCCAUCUUCUUCUUCUUCCUUGCUUGUUUUCACAGAACAGGAUAGAGUUCAAUGGGAUAGACAGGGUGCGUGUUUGUGUUUGUGUUUGUGUGUGUGUGAAAGUUCUCAAAGGUAAUAUAUUUAUGGAGGCCAGAUGGCUGCAAGAAUAAAG
rnacentral:lncRNA from 1 species